rnacentral:rRNA from 1 species
GAUGAACGCUGGCGGCGUGCCUAAUACAUGCAAGUCGAGCGAACAGACGAGGAGCUUGCUCCUCUGACGUUAGCGGCGGACGGGUGAGUAACACGUGGAUAACCUACCUAUAAGACUGGGAUAACUUCGGGAAACCGGAGCUAAUACCGGAUAAUAUAUUGAACCGCAUGGUUCAAUAGUGAAAGACGGUUUUGCUGUCCCUUAUAGAUGGAUCCACGCCGCAUUAGCUAGUUGGUAAGGUAACGGCUUACCAAGGCAACGAUGCGUAGCCGACCUGAGAGGGUGAUCGGCCACACUGGAACUGAGACACGGUCCAGACUCCUACGGGAGGCAGCAGUAGGGAAUCUUCCGCAAUGGGCGAAAGCUUGACGGAGCAACGCCGCGUGAGUGAUGAAGGUCUUCGGAUCGUAAAACUCUGUUAUUAGGGAAGAACAAAUGUGUAAGUAACUAUGCACGUCUUGACGGUACCUAAUCAGAAAGCCACGGCUAACUACGUG